rnacentral:rRNA from 1 species
UCAGGAUGAACGCUAGCGAUAGGCCUAACACAUGCAAGUCGAGGGGCAGCACAUGAAGUAGCAAUACGGAUGGUGGCGACCGGCGCACGGGUGAGUAACGCGUAUGCAACCUACCUACAACAGGGGGAUAACCCGUUGAAAGACGGACUAAUACCCCAUAAUACAGGGGUCCCGCAUGGGGAUAUUUGUUAAAGAUUAAUCGGUUGUAGAUGGGCAUGCGUUCCAUUAGCUGGUUGGUGAGGUAACGGCUCACCAAGGCAACGAUGGAUAGGGGAACUGAGAGGUUUAUCCCCCACACUGGUACUGAGACACGGACCAGACUCCUACGGGAGGCAGCAGUGAGGAAUAUUGGUCAAUGGACGCAAGUCUGAACCAGCCACGUCGCGUGAAGGAAGACGGCCCUACGGGUUGUAAACUUCUUUUGUAAGGGAAUAAAGUGAGUCACGUGUGACUUUUUGCAUGUACCUUACGAAUAAGGAUCGGCUAACUCCGUGCCAGCAGCCGCGGUAAUACGGAGGAUCCGAGCGUUAUCCGGAUUUAUUGGGUUUAAAGGGUGCGCAGGCGGGAGAUUAAGUCGGCGGUGAAAUUUUGCAGCUCAACUGUAAAAGUGCCAUCGAUACUGGUUUUCUUGAGUGUGGAUGAAGUAGGCGGAAUUUGUGGUGUAGCGGUGAAAUGCAUAGAUAUCACAAGGAACACCGAUUGCGCAGGCAGCUUACUAAACCAUAACUGACGCUCAGGCACGAAGGCGUGGGGAGCAAACAGGAUUAGAUACCCUGGUAGUCCACGCAGUAAACGAUGAUUACUAGCUGUUUGCGAUACAAUGUAAGCGGCUGAGCGAAAGCGUUAAGUAAUCCACCUGGGGAGNACGUUCGCAAGAAUGAAACUCA